ensembl:snoRNA small nucleolar RNA SNORD46
AACUGGAGUGAUGAGAGCUACACCUUAGGUGGGUGCGAGACCGUUUUGGUCAUUGUUGCACUCACCAAUGCUAGGGGUUGUCAUAGUUACACUGACCAUGU